rnacentral:rRNA from 1 species
GUGAACGCUGGCGGUAGGCCUAACACAUGCAAGUCGAACGGCAGCACAGUAAGAGCUUGCUCUUACGGGUGGCGAGUGGCGGACGGGUGAGGAAUACAUCGGAAUCUACUUUUUCGUGGGGGAUAACGUAGGGAAACUUACGCUAAUACCGCAUACGACCUACGGGUGAAAGCAGGGGAUCUUCGGACCUUGCGCGAUUGAAUGAGCCGAUGUCGGAUUAGCUAGUUGGCGGGGUAAAGGCCCACCAAGGCGACGAUCCGUAGCUGGUCUGAGAGGAUGAUCAGCCAAACUGGAAAUGAGACACGGUCCAGACUCCUACGGGAGGCAGCAGUGGGGAAUAUUGGACAAUGGGCGCAAGCCUGAUCCAGCCAUACCGCGUGGGUGAAGAAGGCCUUCGGGUUGUAAAGCCCUUUUGUUGGGAAAGAAAAGCAGCAGGUUAAUACCCCGCUGUUCUGACGGUACCCAAAGAAUAAGCACCGGCUAACUUCGUG